AAUGGCUGCAGUAAUAUAACUGUACAAAGGUAGCAUAAUCAUUAGUUUUUUAAUUAAAAGCUUGUAUGAAAGGUUGGACGAAGUAAAAUCUGUCUCUUUUUAAUAUAAUUAGAAUUUAAUUUUUAAGUAAAAAAGCUUAAAUUUAUAUAAAAGACGAGAAGACCCUAUAGAGUUUAAUAAUUAAUUUUAAAUAAUUAAUUUAGAUUUAUUUAUUUUAUUUAUUGUAUAAUUAUUUUAUUGGGGUAAUAGAAAGAUUAAUAUAAUUCUUUUUUUUUUUUACAUUAAUAUAUGAAUUAAAUGAUCCAUUUUUAUGAUUAUAAGAUUAAAUUACCUUAGGGAUAACAGCGUAAUUUUUUUAAAGAGUUCAUAUCGAUAAAAAAGUUUGCGACCUCGAUGUUGGAUUAAAGAUUAGUUUAGGUGUAGAAGUUUAAACUUUUGGUCUGUUCGACCAUUAAAUCUUUACAUGAUCUGAGUUCAAACCGGUGUAAGCCAGGUUGGUUUCUAUCUUUAUAAAAUUUUUAUAUUUUAGUACGAAAGGACCAAAUAUUUAAUAUAUAAAUAUUUAAUUAUUUUGAAUAU
rnacentral:rRNA from 1 species